rnacentral:tRNA from 1 species
UCCCUUGCAGUCCAGGGUUAGGACUCUGCACUUUCACUGCUGAGGGCCUACGUUCAAUCCCUGGUCAGGGAA